GUGACAACAGACCCCUAAGGCUCAGAUCAUAAGUUCUGGCAUUUCAGGAUUCAAGAUGCACUUGGGGGCCAGCCACAGCCCCAUAAUGUCUGAAGUUCCUCUGUUAUUUUAUUGUUGAACUCCUCCUCCUGCCUCUCUGAGGAAGCACUUGCAGGAGCAUCUGGACCCCAGGGCUAGUAGAGAGUGCCCUGGCCGAUGCCCCCAGCCUGGAUUGUGUCUAGUGUGCAGAGAAGAAACCAGAAGCCAGUGGCCCAGAGGCUGAGCCCUGCCCAGAGCUCCACACGGAGCCAGUGGAGCCACUGACUCGGACAUCCUCGGCAGGCCCUGAGGGUGGAGGAG
rnacentral:sRNA from 1 species